CAGCUGCAUAUGUAGCAGAGGAUGACCAUUUCAGACAUCAGUGAGAAGAGACCAUUGGUCCUGUGAAGGCUCCAUGCCCCAGUGUAGGGCAAUGCCAGGUUUCUCUGUGUAGCACUGGCUGUCCUGGAACUUACUCUGUAGACCAGGCUGGCCUUGAAAACAGAAAUCCACAAGCCUCUGACCCACAAGUACAGGGAUUAAAGGCAUGCACCACCACUGGCUGGCUUUUGGAUAUUUCUCACAAGGAUCAAAUUGACCAUACUAGGAACCUGGAGAGAGGUUUCUCAGAAAUGAAGCACUAAGGUAUAUUCUGAACAGGGGAAGGAUUUCAGAUACUUACAACUCCCUACCAUGGUGGAAGUCAUCUGCAAUUUUAAAAAAGAAAGCAUUGUCACAAUUGGCCCACAUCAUAUAUGUCAUCACUAUCUGGCUUUCUCUGGAAGAUUUAGGGAGCAAUAGAUUUAUGCCCUAUGGUGCUGAAAAUGACACAGGUCAGCUUCUAAGACAUGAGUC